UGAGGGUGGCUACAUGACGAUU
rnacentral:piRNA from 1 species